UUUUUUAAGUACUUCAAUGAGAAAUUACAUAUAAAUACGUUGUAUUUUGACGAGACGCUUGAGGGAACAGGACAAGUUGAAGACUACAAGCUGAAGUUGUCCCCUAAGAAAGUGAGCCAACAAUACGAAAUA
rnacentral:ncRNA from 1 species